CAAAAACCAAAAAAUUGUGGAAAGGGGGUACCCAAAGUGGUCUAUUAAGAACUGUGGUAGGUGAGUAAUGUCCCCCACUAGAAAGGAGAGGGCAAGGCUGGUGCCAGCCGCCGCGGUAAAACCAGCUCUUCAAGUGGUCGGGAUAAUUAUUGGGCUUAAAGUGUCCGUAGCCGGUUUAGUAAGUUCCUGGUAAAAUCGGGUAGCUUAACUAUCUGCAUGCUAGGAAUACUGCUAUACUAGAGGGCGGGAGAGGUCUGAGGUACUACAGGGGUAGGGGUGAAAUCUUAUAAUCCUUGUAGGACCACCAGUGGCGAAGGCGUCAGACUGGAACGCGCCUGACGGUGAGGGACGAAAGCCAGGGGAGCGAACCGGAUUAGAUACCCGGGUAGUCCUGGCCGUAAACGAUGCAUACUAGGUGAUGGCACGGCCAUGAGCCAUGUCAGUGCCGUAGGGAAACCGUUAAGUGUGCCGCCUGGGAAGUACGGUCGCAAGGCUAAAACUUAAAGGAAUUGGCGGGGGA
rnacentral:rRNA from 1 species